rnacentral:rRNA from 1 species
GACAGAGGUGCCAAGCGUUAGGCGGAAUCACUGGGCUUAAAGCGUGUGUAGGCGGGUCGUUAAGUGUCUUGUGAAAUCCCCCGGCUCAACCGGGGAAUGGCUGGGCAUACUGGCGAUCUUGAGCAGUUCAGGGGCAGAUGGAACAAGUGGUGGAGCGGUGAAAUGCGUAGAUAUCACUUGGAACGCCAAAGGUGAAAACAGUCUGCUGGGAACUUGCUGACGCUGAGACACGAAAGCCAGGGGAGCGAACGGG